rnacentral:rRNA from 1 species
ACUCAAAUGAAUUGACGGGGGCCCGCACAAGCGGUGGAUGAUGUGGAUUAAUUCGAUGCAACGCGAAAAACCUUACCUACCCUUGACAUGCCCGGGAGGCCGAUGAAAGUUGGCUGUGCUCGAAAGAGAGCCGGGACACAGGUGCUGCAUGGCUGUCGUCAGCUCGUGUCGUGAGAUGUUGGGUUAAGUCCCGCAACGAGCGCAACCCUUGCCAUUAGUUGCUACAUUGAGUUGGGCACUCUAAUGGGACUGCCGGUGACAAACCGGAGGAAGGUGGGGAUGACGUCAAGUCCUCAUGGCCCUUAUGGGUAGGGCUUCACACGUCAUACAAUGGCGGAUACAGAGGGUUGCCAACCCGCGAGGGGGAGCCAAUCCCAGAAAGUCCGUCGUAGUCCGGAUCGGAGUCUGCAACUCGACUCCGUGAAGUCGGAAUCGCUAGUAAUCGCGGAUCAGCAUGUCGCGGUGAAUACGUUCCCGGGCCUUGUACACACCGCCCGU